GACAGAGGAUGCAAGCGUUAUCCGGAAUGAUUGGGCGUAAAGCGUCUGUAGGUGGCUUUUUAAGUUCGCCGUCAAAUCCCAGGGCUCAACCCUGGAAUGCCGGUGGAAACUGUCGGGCUGGAGUCCGGAAGAGGCGAGUGGAAUUCCUGGUGUAGCGGUGAAAUGCGCAGAUAUCAGGAGGAACACCAAUGGCGAAGGCAGCUCGCUGGGACGGUACUGACGCUGAGACGCGAAAGCGUGGGGAGCAAACAGG
rnacentral:rRNA from 1 species